AAUAUUGGACAAUGGGGGCAACCCUGAUCCAGCCAUGCCGCGUGUGUGAAGAAGGUCNNNGGAUUNUAAAGCACUUUAAGUUGNGAGNAAGGGCAGUAAGUUAAUACCUUGCUGUUUUGACGUUACCGACAGAAUAAGCACCGGCUAACUUCGUGCCAGCAGCCGCGGUAAUACGAAGGGCGCAAGCGUUAAUCGGAAUUACUGGGCGUAAAGCGAGCGUAGGUGGUUUGUUAAGUUGGAAGUGAAAGCCCAGAGCUUAACCUGGGAACUGCUUUCAUAACUGCUGGGCUAGAGUACGGUAGAGAGUAGUGGAAUUUCCUGUGUAGCGGUGAAAUGCGUAGAUAUAGGAAGGAACACCAGUGGCGAAGGCGACUACCUGGACUGAUACUGACACUGAGGUGCGAAAGCGUGGGGAGCAAAC
rnacentral:rRNA from 1 species